GGAUAUAUUACAUAGAAUAUGUUUUCGACUUGUCGCUCAUCAAGACUUUUCAAUUCUUGAGCUUUCCAUAGAAUUGUUCUCUUUAUGCGAAAGGCCAUGCAUGCACCUACAUUAAUUUCUCUACCUUUUCUCUCUCUCUAUAUAUAUAUAUGUAUUCACGUACAAGUAUAUAAUAUCAGCCAUGAAGAAGGAGAGAUGUAACAUAAUAUAUAUAUAUACAUAUAUGAGGGGUUGGGGGAGUCCUGUCGCAGGAGCGGUGGCACCUCCGGCCUCUGUGUAGAAAAGAUGCCGCAAGUGCCAUCAUCCUAUGACAAGACACACCUGUAACUUCUCUCUUCUCAAGAAAUAUUUUACUGGAGUUCCAACUUUAUGCUUUUUGUUUCCUUUGGCUGUAUGCAAUGUAAGUAGCUAGUCUCUCUUUGGUUGCUGAUCAGAAGAACAUCAAUUUCUUCUUCUUCUUCUACUUGCUCCCGGCCUUUGUAUGAUCUUCUUCUUGUAAAAUGUGUACACAUAUACCAUCUUCUUGGAAAAUUGUUUUCUCUCUAUCCGUGCUUUCUGCUAUUGUUAUUUUAAUGAUCUGCUUUGUUAUUGGAAAAUACAAUAUGACAUUUGUUUUUCAUUUCUUUGUUACAGCUCUUAUUUAUUAUUGCAAUGUACAGUGAAGCUGCUUGCCUGCAUCAUUAUCUCCUCCCAGUUGCAAAUGCUUUAUUUUAUGUUAAACAUAGUUUACUUGUAUUUCUGAUUGUUUCUUUGAAGGUAUGUAUAGUUGCUUCAAUAGGUAAAACUUAUUUAUUUUAUUACUGGUUUUGCACCAAUAGUUUAUCUACUGAUAUAUAUUAUAUAUAGAUUGAUUUCUUGACUUUGUCAAGCUAGAUUAUCCGUCUUCAGAUAUAUAUUUUUGAAUUUGAUCAAUCCAGCUUGAAGAUAUGGUUGGCUGUCAAAGAAGAUAUUGGAAUUGAUGGCUAAGACUUAAUUCAUCAACUUGUAUUACGUUUCAUUUCAUCAUCCACGUGAUGUCAAAUGGAUGAGAUUUAUAUAUAUACAAGAGUUUCUGAAAAUGUUUUUUUAUUUUUAUUUUUAUUAUUAUGUUUUAGAUUAAAGUUAAUUAAUCAUUAUUUGUGUACUAUCUGUUGACAACUUAUGCUAUUAACAAAUUAUGAAAUCAUAUAUGGAAGUUAAUUAAUAGUAAAUUGAUGUGAUAUCGAGAUGAUUAAGCCUCUCUAAAAGAUUUAAAUUUGUUUAGUACUAUAUAUACAUAUAAUUUAAUCACCUAUUUUUUUUAUUACAGCUAUUUUCUAAUAAACAAAUACACAUAAGGUUGGCGUUUAAGGUUGUGAUUAAGUUAAUUUAAACACUUGAAUCAGAUAAAGAGACAGAAGGAUUCUACCGUCCAAGUGGCUACCUGCCAGACAUAUGUAGACUACUAUCAAUUCCUCUUUAUGAUCUAGGAUGUGACUUUUUUUUUUCUUUUAAUUAGAAAUGUUAAUCAGUAAUUAAUUAGUGAGACAGUUAUUGAAAGGGGGAAAAACUAGAAAGGGGUAUAAAUUAGGGACUCUGUUUUUGGUCAGAUGGCAAUUACUGCUAAUUGCAAGAUUCCUUAAUCCCCGUCAGGGAAGAGAUGUCUUUUACCCUCUCUAUCUGUAUGCAAAGUAUUUUUCUUUAUUAGCUUGUAAUUACAAAUUUCGCAAGACAGACAAGACAGUCUAUCAACUAAAAAAAUUCAUCACUAUACUUUUUGCAGCGCCUGCGCCCUUCAGCAAUUUGGAAUCAAGUCGGUGCUUUGACUACACAAAAAAGCAUUAAAGCAAAUACCUGAUCAGCCCAUUUUUCAUGGAAAACAGAAAUCACAAUACUGUGGAAAUGUAGUGGAGUUGCAAGAUUAUAGAAGUUUCCAGGAACCAUGGUCAAGAACACUCAUUAUCAAAAUAAAACCUGACAACAUUAGCACCCAGGAAUUUCCAUGACGGGCAUACAGUAUUGAAUGACAAUUAUGCGAUUGUACCAUCAAAAUGAACUCUAAACGAUAUUUCUUUUUCUCUGGAUUUUCAGCACUCAUACCGGAGUCUGAUAGUGCCAGAGAAGCAGUUGUCUAUACAAGCCAUCGUACAGUAAAACUUGAACUUCCUGUUUUUUUUCUUUU